GUGGACUGAUAAGAAGUGAGAAUGCUGGCAUGAGUAACGAGAGAGGAGCGAGAAACUCCUCCGCCGUAAGCCUAAGGGUUCCUGGGCAAGGCUAAUCCUCCCAGGGUCAGUCGGGAGCUAAGGCGAGGCAGUGAUGCGUAGCCGAUGCACAACAGGUUGAUAUUCCUGUACCACCAUAUAUCGUUAUGACGAUGGGGUGACGGAGAAGGGUAGCCGGGCGGGGUUCUGGACGUCCCCGUGAAAGCGUGUAGGGUGAUAAGUAGGCAAAUCCGCUUGUCAUAUACCUGAGACGUUAGACGAAGCUCUAAGUGAAGUCGGUAAGCCCAUGCUUCCAAGAAAAACCUCUAAGCAGAUUUUUAUGGUGCCCGUACCAAAACCGACACAGGUAGGCGGGUAGAGCAUACCAAGGCGAUCGGGAGAACCAUGGUUAAGGAACUCGGCAUAAUGACUCCGUAACUUCGGGAGAAGGAGUGCCCUUGUUGGUGACGGAUCUCGCAUCCUGAGCUGAUGAGGGUCGCAGCGAAACGGCCCAAGCGACUGUUUAUCAAAAACACAGGACUCUGCUAAGUCGCAAGACGACGUAUAGGGUCUGACGCCUGCCCGGUGCUGGAAGGUUACGUGGAUGUGUUAGCUUAUGCGAAGCAUUGAAACUAAGCCCCAGUAAACGGCGGCCGUAACUAUAACGGUCCUAAGGUAGCGAAAUUCCUUGUCGGGUAAGUUCCGACCUGCACGAAUGGCGUAACGAUUUGGGCGCUGUCUCGACCAUGGACCCGGUGAAAUUGUAUUAUUCGUGAAGAUGCGAAUUACCUGCGGAAGGACGGAAAGACCCCGUGAACCUUUACUGCAGCUUGGCAUUGACUGUUGGUUCGGCGUGUAGAGGAUAGGUGGGAGACUGUGAAGCAGAAACGCCAGUUUCUGUGGAGUCAACCUUGGAAUACCACCCUCGCAGCUCCGGCAGUCUAACGUUAGACCGUUAUCCGGCUAGCGGACCGUGCCAGGUGGGUAGUUUGACUGGGGCGGUCGCCUCCUAAAUGGUAACGGAGGCGUGCGUAAGGUUCGCUCAGGAUGGUUGGCAAUCAUCCGUAGAGCACAAGAGUAUAAGCGAGCUUGACUGCGAGACCUACAAGUCGAGCAGAGACGAAAGUCGGUUCUAGUGAUCCGGCGGCCCAGC
rnacentral:rRNA from 1 species